AUUGCUCAUCUGAGCUGACCAUAUAAUCGUAUCAGGUUACCCGUCCGGGCUAAACCUUUAUAUGAAUACAUCAGUUGCUCGUUCGAACUGAGCAUAUAAUUGUGUCAGGUUACCUGUCCGAGCUAAACCUUAAUGUAGACACAUCAAAUAGCUUGGCCAAAGUUGUAUAUAUACAUGUCAGGUUACUCGUUAGGGCUAAACCUUUAAAACGACAUCAUGUUAUUCGUUCGAUCUAAACUUGUGUCACAUGUAUCUUCGAGUCCGCAACAAAUGCUGGAGCUCUGUAAUCAUCAGUAAUCAUUCUGUAUCCAUGUGUACAAGACAUUUAUGAAGUUUCAUCAGGGUAAUUCCAACAUAUAAGUUCAUAUUUAUUUCUUUACAAGAUAGUCUAAUUCUCACCUUUUGUACUAAAUUGUAAACAUUCCAAAUUUCAAUUAAUAAACAUAUAUUUAUACUUCAGAUACAAAAAAAUUAAAAACAUAAUUAUACCAUAUGAACUUACCUGAAAAAAUCAACAAACAAGUUGAAUCACAAGGACUAAUUGAUAAUUUUAUCUUUUUCCCGAUUAUCCUUGGUUCGGUUCAGUUCUCAAUCUAAAAUAAUAAUACAGUUCAAUUUAUCAAUACCAAUCAUUUCAUAAUAUUCCCUAUCAUGCAUGAGUCAGUUCAAUUUCAUCUUUUGAAUGCUCCUACAAUUUUAUAUUUUAUUCAAUUUAGUCCCUAAAAUUGAAAUUGCUAUAAAUUUAAAAUGUGAGCCUCGAUUACGAAACCGAUCUGAAUUACAUCCUUCUAUAACCCUCUAUUAUCAAUAAUUAUAGGAAUCUUUCAUCAAUUUCAAAAUUUAUGCGCUUUAGUCCUUAUGUUCAAAAGCUAGCAAUUAUACUUUGAAAACUAGUCUUUUUUAACUUCUAAGCUUAAAAUAUAACAAUUAUGUACCAAUUUCAUCAAGUAUUCAUCAAUGGAAACUUUUAAAAACUUUAACAGUUUGCAAAUUGGUACACGAGUUAGCUAAAUCAAGCUCCCAAGACCUCAAAAACAUAAAAAUUACAAGAAACGAACUUGUAUACUUACCAAAUUAGAAGACCGAAUGCUUAAGUUGAUAAAAAAAAUUGCUUCCUAGUUUUCUUGGUAGUUUCGGU
rnacentral:lncRNA from 1 species